rnacentral:rRNA from 1 species
GACGAACGCUGGCGGCGUGCCUAAUACAUGCAAGUCGAGCGAACAGAGAAGGAGCUUGCUCCUUUGACGUUAGCGGCGGACGGGUGAGUAACACGUGGGCAACCUACCUUAUAGUUUGGGAUAACUCCGGGAAACCGGGGCUAAUACCGAAUAAUCUGUUUCACCUCAUGGUGAAACACUGAAAGACGGUUUCGGCUGUCGCUAUAGGAUGGGCCCGCGGCGCAUUAGCUAGUUGGUGAGGUAACGGCUCACCAAGGCGACGAUGCGUAGCCGACCUGAGAGGGUGAUCGGCCACACUGGGACUGAGACACGGCCCAGACUCCUACGGGAGGCAGCAGUAGGGAAUCUUCCACAAUGGGCGAAAGCCUGAUGGAGCAACGCCGCGUGAGUGAAGAAGGAUUUCGGUUCGUAAAACUCUGUUGUAAGGGAAGAACAAGUACAGUAGUAACUGGCUGUACCUUGACGGUACCUUAUUAGAAAGCCACGGCUAACUACGUGC